rnacentral:lncRNA from 1 species
AGGUGAACGAAUCCAUGGGGCUUUGAAUCAAGGACAACUCAACUCCUUCCAAUCCUGGGCUGCCUGCCUUUGACAUUAACUUGGAACAGCACAAGACCAUGCUGGAGCAUGCUGGGGAGAUCAGCAGACCAGAAGGCCUACAUGUACACUGGAAAGCCCCCAACCCAGGAAUCCCUGUACGACUUGAGGUAAACUAUUUAACCACAGGCAACUGCCUCAGCUUCCUGUUUGGUCAAGAAGUGAUAAGCAGUGAAACUUCAUCUCCAAUGGCCAAAAGCCCUGGGAAUUGUGCUGCUGUGCGCGGCCUCUCUGCCUGGUGUGAAGCAAACAGUAAUGCUUUGUUGAGCUUGCCUGAAAUGCCCAUGUGAAGAAUGACUGUUGAAUGCUUGAGAUUUAUGGAGAUAAAAAUUACAAAAUGUCUUAGCUUGAUUUACAUUGACG